AUACGGAGGGUGCAAGCGUUAUCCGGAAUCAUUGGGUUUAAAGGGUCCGCAGGCGGAUUAAUAAGUCAGUGGUAAAUCCUCUCGCUCAACGAGAGAACUGCCAUUGAAACUGUUAGUCUUGAAUUCGGUCGAAGUAGGCGGAAUGUGUCAUGUAGCGGUGAAAUGCAUAGAUAUGACACAGAACACCGAUAGCGAAGGCAGCUUACUAGACCUGGAUUGACGCUCAUGGACGAAAGCGUGGGGAGCGAACAGGAUUAGAUACCCUAGUAGUCC
rnacentral:rRNA from 1 species